AUUGAACGCUGGCGGCAGGCCUAACACAUGCAAGUCGAGCGAAAGAGUGUGCUUGCACACUCGAAAGCGGCGGACGGGUGAGGAACGCGUGGGAAUCUGCCUGUAGAUGGGGGAUAGCCCGGAGAAAUCCGGAUUAAUACCGCAUAAUACCUGAGGGUUAAAGUGGAGGAUCGCAAGACUUCACGUCUACAGAUGAGCCCACGUCAGAUUAGCUAGUUGGUAGGGUAAAGGCCUACCAAGGCGACGAUCUGUAGCUGGCCUGAGAGGGUGGCCAGCAAAACUGGAACUGGGACACGGUCCAGACUCCUACGGGAGGCAGCAGUGGGGAAUAUUGGACAAUGGGCGCAAGCCUGAUCCAGCCAUGCCGCGUGUGUGAAGAAGGCCUUCGGGUUGUAAAGCACUUUAAGUUGGGAGGAAGGUUCGAUGGCUAAUAUCCAUCGGAAUUGACGUUACCAACAGAAUGAGCACCGGCUAAUUCCGUGCCAGCCGCCGCCGUAA
rnacentral:rRNA from 1 species